GAUGAACGCUGGCGGCGUGCCUAAUACAUGCAAGUCGAGCGAACAGACGAGGAGCUUGCUCCUCUGACGUUAGCGGCGGACGGGUGAGUAACACGUGGAUAACCUACCUAUAAGACUGGGAUAACUUCGGGAAACCGGAGCUAAUACCGGAUAAUAUAUUGAACCGCAUGGUUCAAUAGUGAAAGACGGUUUUGCUGUCACUUAUAGAUGGAUCCGCGCCGCAUUAGCUAGUUGGUAAGGUAACGGCUUACCAAGGCAACGAUGCGUAGCCGACCUGAGAGGGUGAUCGGCCACACUGGAACUGAGACACGGUCCAGACUCCUACGGGAGGCAGCAGUAGGGAAUCUUCCGCAAUGGGCGAAAGCCUGACGGAGCAACGCCGCGUGAGUGAUGAAGGUCUUCGGAUCGUAAAACGCUGUUAUUAGGGAAGAACAAAUGUGUAAGUAACUAUGCACGUCUUGACGGUACCGAAUCAGAAAGCCACGGCUAACUACGU
rnacentral:rRNA from 1 species